AUAUAACUAAGCGGAGGAAAAGAAACUAACCAGGAUUCCCUCAGUAACGGCGAGUGAAGCGGGAAAAGCUCAGACUGAAAAGCUUCGGCAUUGUAGUCUGGAGAGGCCAGAUCAUUUCACGUAGAGGUAAAAGUGCCUUGGAACAGGCCGCUGGAAAGGGUGAAAGCCCCGUCAGACUUUAUACGUCGAGAGUACGAUCGGUCUUCUACGAGUCGAGUUGUUUGGGAUUGCAGCUCUAAGCGGGAGGUAAAUUCCUUCUAAAGCUAAAUAUUGGUGGGAGACCGAUAGCGCACAAGUA
rnacentral:rRNA from 1 species